rnacentral:rRNA from 1 species
UACGUAGGUGGCGAGCGUUAUCCGGAAUUACUGGGUGUAAAGGGUGUGUAGGCGGGGUAGCAAGUCAGACGUGAAAUUCAGAGGCUCAACCUCUGGACUGCGUUUGAAACUGUUACUCUUGAGUGUUGGAGGGGUAAACGGAAUUCCUGGUGUAGUAGUGAAAUGCGUAGAUAUCAGGAGGAACACCGGUGGCGAAGGCGGUUUACUGGACAACAACUGACGCUGAGACACGAAAGCGUGGGGAG